AUUAGAUGAGCCUAUAUUAGAUUAGCUAGUUGGUGGGGUAAUAGCCUACCAAGGUAAUGAUCUAUAGCUGAUCUGAGAGGAUGAUCAGCCACACUGGAACUGAGAUACGGUCCAGACUCCUACGGGAGGCAGCAGUGGGGAAUAUUGGACAAUGGGCGAAAGCCUGAUCCAGCCAUGCCGCAUGAGUGAAGAAGGCCUUUGGGUUGUAAAGCUCUUUUAGUGAGGAAGAUAAUGACGGUACUCACAGAAGAAGUCCUGGCUAACUCCGUGCCAGCAGCCGCAGUAAUACGGAGAGGGCUAGCGUUAUUCGGAAUUAUUGGGCGUAAAGGGCGCGUAGGCUGGUUAAUAAGUUAAAAGUGAAAUCCCGAGGCUUAACCUUGGAAUUGCUUUUAAAACUAUUAAUCUAGAGAUUGAAAGAGGAUAGAGGAAUUCCUGAUGUAGAGGUAAAAUUCGUAAAUAUUAGGAGGAACACCAGUGGCGAAGGCGUCUAUCUGGUUCAAAUCUGACGCUGAAGCGCGAAGGCGUGGGGAGCAAACAGGAUUAGAUACCCUGGUAGUCCACGCUGUAAACGAUGAAUGUUAAAUAUGGGGAG
rnacentral:rRNA from 1 species